CACGUCAUAAUUGCGCGGGAGGAGGCUGGUGAGAGCUGCCCAAAGCUGCUGCUGAGCCUCCCGCCGCCCUGGCCACUAACCACACUUAAUGAAGUGUGUGAGCACCCCCUACUGUUCUCAUCGGGAAUUAACUGCAAGGGGCCAAGCUGAGCUGCGACAGACACCCAUUGUGUCUCUCGGGAUACUGCUUUACCCCUGCUUGCCACCUGGAGGCAUACCAUCUGACAUGAGCUCAUGGCCGAGCCUGCCGGCUGAGGAUCGAACCCAGGGCCUUGCGCUUGCUAGCUAGGCAAGCGCUUUACCACUGAACUAAACCCCCAACCAAUUUUUUGAAGUUAUAAUAAAAGAAGGAAAGGAAGACAGACAGACAGACUGAAAGGCCCAAUCUGGCCCCACCUGGUGACGGGCGUGAGAGCCUGAGACAGCGCAACAUUGCCACCAUGUGGACAGAAACCUGAAUGACCACUUUGCCGCCAGUCCCGCCCAGUGGCUCUGAAUCUGGAGUCCCAUACCUACAGGAUUUGAAACCUUCCCCAAGCCGUUUCACGGUGUCUCCGGCAGAACCUUGGUAGAGGCAGCAGUCCUUGUAGAUGCCACACCCGGGACCUGAGUUUGUUCAUUAAGUUUCUAAGGUUUUGAUAAGUAACUAAAAUAAACCGAGAUGCAAGGCAGUUUGGGAGGACCGGAAAAUGAAUGGCUUGAGAUUCCCAACACAAGAUGGUCAGCCAGGGGGAAGACUCCACGCUGUGUGCUGAGCCAGUGAGGCGAGUCCUCAGGCUGACUCCACAAGCCCAGCCGCACGCGGGUUAUCUGUGACCAGGGAGAGGCUCUUAGCCUUGCCCUGCCACCGCCUCCUCCUGGUCCUUUCAGUGACCCUCCAGCACUGGAUCUGCCAGGGAGCAGAAGCUAGGAGGUGGUACACACAGCCUCUCCCCGUCCAGCCCGCCCCCGCUACCCCCCCCCCCCAUCCUUUAACUCCAUGUCAGAGUCAGACUGCCCAGAGAAUAGCACAGGAUGCAAGGCUAGUUACAGAAUCCACAGAUAAAUAAAAUACAUAGCUCCUCGUUUAAAGGCCAGGGUGACGCAUGGAACCCAGUGCAGGGCCCUUUUGAGCAUGGAGUUCAGCACUGUUCAGGCGCAGGGGAGACAGCCCUGCCUAGCCGCCUGGGGUGGAGGAAAGGGCUCUCUCGCUUUCACAACCCCCACGGCAGCCUGCCACGGCAGUAAGUGGUCCCAGAAUGCAUUAUUCAUCCCACGCCCUGCACAGUGGACCUGGCUACAGCUAUUGCAGCCUGUCCUAAUUAAAUGGAAUUUUCUGCCCCGUGCUUGGAGCUGAGUUUGUGAAUUGAAAAUGCAAAUGUGUGCGAAACAGUCUUGGCCCUGAGUCCCCCCAGCCUGCCUCAGUAAAGCUAAGAUGAACCAAUACCCCAAACCCACUGCAGAGCUGCGUAGCCCAGUGCUCCACGGUGCACUCUGUGGCACCUCUGUGUCCCCUGGCUCUU